rnacentral:rRNA from 1 species
GUUGUAUGGUUAAGCGACUAAGCGUAUACGGUGGAUGCCUUGGCAGUCAGAGGCGAUGAAGGACGUGUUAAUCUGCGAUAAGCUGAGCUCAGGUGAUAAAAACCAUUUUAGGCUCAGAUUUCCGAAUGGGGCAACCCGGCCACAUAAGUGGUCAUUGUACAGUGAAUACAUAGCUGUAUGAGGCGAACGUGGGGAACUGAAACAUCUAAGUACCCAUAGGAACAGAAAUCAACCGAGAUUCCCCUAGUAGCGGCGAGCGAACGGGGAUUAGCCCUUAAGUUUUUUGGAAGUUAAUGGAAUGCGUUGGAAAGCGCAGCGGCACAGGGUGAUAGCCCCGUACAUGAAAACGACCUUAAGAUGAAAUCGAGUAGGACGGCACACGUGAUAUGUUGUCUGAACAUGGGGGGACCAUCCUCCAAGGCUAAAUACUCCUGACUGACCGAUAGUGAACCAGUACCGUGAGGGAAAGGCGAAAAGAACCCCUGUGAGGGGAGUGAAAUAGAACCUGAAACCGUAUACGUACAAGCAGUGGGAGCGGUCCUUGAGACCGUGACUGCGUACCUUUUGUAUAAUGGGUCAGCGACUUACAUUUAGUAGCAAGGUUAAGCGAAUAGCGGAGCCGUAGGGAAACCGAGUGUUAACUGCGCGAAGAGUUGCUAGGUGUAGACCCGAAACCCGGUGAUCUAGCCAUGGGCAGGUUGAAGGUUGAGUAACAUCAACUGGAGGACCGAACACACGUAUGUUGAAAAAUGCGGUGAUGACUUGUGGCUGGGGGUGAAAGGCCAAUCAAACCGGGAGAUAUCUGGUUCUCCUCGAAAGCUAUUUAGGUAGCGCCUCGCACGGACACCAUUGGGGGUAGAGCACUGUUAAGGCUAGGGGGUCAUCCCGACUUACCAACCCUUUGCAAACUCCGAAUACCAAUGAGUGAUAUGCGGGAGACACACGGCGGGUGCUAACGUCCGUCGUGGAAAGGGAAACAACCCAGACCGUCAGCUAAGGUCCCAAAGUGUAUGUUAAGUGGGAAACGAUGUGGGAAGGCUUAGACAGCUAGGAAGUUGGCUUAGAAGCAGCCAUCUUUUAAAGAAAGCGUAAUAGCUCACUAGUCGAGUCGGCCUGCGCGGAAGAUUUAACGGGGCUAAACAUACCACCGAAGCUACGGGUUCAAGAUUUAUCUUGAGCGGUAGAGGAGCGUUCUGUAAGCGGUUGAAGCUAAAGGGGUAACCCAUAGUGGACGUAUCAGAAGUGCGAAUGCUGACAUGAGUAACGAUAAAGGGAGUGAAAAACUCCCUCGCCGAAAGACCAAGGGUUCCUGUCCAAUGUUAAUCAGGGCAGGGUGAGUCGACCCCUAAGGCGAGGCCGAAAGGCGUAGUCGAUGGGAAACGGGUUAAUAUUCCCGUACUUCUACUUACUGCGAUGGAGAGACGGAGAAGGCUAGGCUAGCCGGGCGUUGGUUGUCCCGGUUUAAGGUUGUAGGCUGUUCACUUAGGUAAAUCCGGGUGAACAUUAGGCUGAGAACUGAUGACGAGUCACUAAGGUGAUGAAGUAGUUGAUGCCAUGCUUCCAGGAAAAUCUUCUAAGCUUCAGGUAAGUAGGAAUCGUACCCCAAACCGACACAGGUGGUUGGGUAGAGAAUACCAAGGCGCUUGAGAGAACUCGGCUGAAGGAACUAGGCAAAAUGGUACCGUAACUUCGGGAGAAGGUACGCUGCCGGCGGUGAUGAGACUUGCUCUCUAAGCUGCUGGCAGUCGCAGAUACCAGGUGGCUGCAACUGUUUAUCAAAAACACAGCACUGUGCAAAAUCGCAAGAUGACGUAUACGGUGUGACGCCUGCCCGGUGCUUGAAGGUUAAUUGAUUAGGUUAGUACUUGUACGAAGCUUAUGAUCGAAGCCCAAGUAAACGGCGGCCGUAACUAUAACGGUCCUAAGGUAGCGAAAUUCCUUGUCGGGUAAGUUCCGACCUGCACGAAUGGCGUAAUGAUGGCCACGCUGUCUCCAGCCGAGACUCAGUGAAGUUGAAAUUGCGGUGAAGAUGCCGUAUACCCGCGGCUAGACGGAAAGACCCCGUGAACCUUUACUAUAGCUUGGCACUGAACAUUGACCCUACAUGUGUAGGAUAGGUGGGAGACUUUGAAACCUUGUCGCCAGAUGAGGUGGAGUCAACCUUGAAAUACCACCCUUGUAGUGUUGAUGUUCUAACUUGGCCCCAUUAUCUGGGGUAAGGACAGUGCCUGGUGGGUAGUUUGACUGGGGCGGUCUCCUCCCAAAGAGUAACGGAGGAGCACGAAGGUUAGCUAAACACGGUCGGACAUCGUGUGGUUAGUGCAAUGGCAUAAGCUAGCUUAACUGCGAGACAGACACGUCGAGCAGGUACGAAAGUAGGUCAUAGUGAUCCGGUGGUUCUGUAUGGAAGGGCCAUCGCUCAACGGAUAAAAGGUACUCCGGGGAUAACAGGCUGAUACCGCCCAAGAGUUCAUAUCGACGGCGGUGUUUGGCACCUCGAUGUCGGCUCAUCACAUCCUGGGGCUGAAGUCGGUCCCAAGGGUAUGGCUGUUCGCCAUUUAAAGUGGUACGCGAGCUGGGUUCAGAACGUCGUGAGACAGUUCGGUCCCUAUCUGCCGUGGGCGUUGGAUGAUUGAAAGGGGCUGCUCCUAGUACGAGAGGACCGGAGUGGACGAACCGCUGGUGUUCGGGUUGUUAUGCCAAUAGCAUUGCCCGGUAGCUACGUUCGGAAUCGAUAACCGCUGAAAGCAUCUAAGCGGGAAGCGAGCCUUGAGAUGAGUCAUCCCUCAGAUUUUAAAUCUGCUAAAGAGCCGUCCGAGACUAGGACGUUGAUAGGCAAGGUGUGUAAGCGUUGUGAGGCGUUGAGCUAACUUGUACUAAUGACUCGUGAGGCUUAACCAUACAACCCUAAUGGGUUUU